AACAAUAAACAUUUUAAUUCCACUCCUCUAUAUAAAUGAGUUAUGCCACCCCCUCCUUUCAUCAAAACACAUUAACAUAUCACAAUUUAAUUUCAUCAUAUCAUAUCAUAUAGUUUGUGAGAAUUAAUAAACUCCUUCAAAGCACAACAACAGUUCAUAGAUUGAUAUUAGUUGAAUCAAACAAACAUACAUGGCUUUCUCUUAUAGUAGAAUAAUCCUCUUCAAAGUUCUUCUCUAUGUACUAAUCAUCUUCAACAUAUUCGUUACACCUCAAUCAGGAGGAGUAGAUUGCAGGCCAUUGUCAUUGAAUUAUUAUCAAUGGUCUUGGGAUCAUGGACUUAUUUUGCAAUCACUUCCAAAUGGUAAUGCACCUGGAUCAGGAGGAGGAGAUCCUACUCAUCCCUAAUUAAGCUGCACAUAUAUGCAUUCAAAUUAAUUGGAACUUAAUUAGGAAGCUUUACAAAGAAGAAACUAUUUUUGAUUUUUUUAUAUAGUUCUACAACGAUAUAGUAAUGACAUUAACUCUCGUUGUUGAAGUUCCACGUCUCAGUGGUUUGUAUCAAUUUUUUAAUUUUUUUUUAGUUGCAUGUCCCACAUGCAAUUUUUUUAUAUGGUAUUCCGUAUAAUCUUGUAUUCAUAUUCUAUUUCAAUCACCUCACAGAAUAUAUCUGAAAAAAUUAGAUAUAUUCGUAUAGACUGUAGUAUGUAAAUUUUGACUAAAAUCUAAAUAAACAACUCUCUUUUUUAAUGGUUUGCAUUAGUUUACCAAUACCACUUGGCGCCUAAUAAGUGCGACAAACACUUAUCUUGUACAUAGUUUGAUGUAUGCAAAUAUUUUCCUUUGCAUGCUAUCUACGUGUCCUUCAUAUUUUAAUUGAUCUGUGAUUUUAUAAACAUUAUUUUAGGAUUAAUGGGACAAUGGGGCAUUUCGAUUGAUUAGAGAAGAGAUGAGCUAUAGUUUGAAAACAAAUUUUUAAUCGUCGUGGGACUAAAUUGAUUUAUUUAUGGACUACUAAUAGAAGCCUUAACAUGAAGUUUAAGAGAUUAAAUGUGGGAUGGAAUAAUAGUUUAUAGACCUUUAAGAUAAUUAUAUUAGUUUAAAGACUAAACUGAUGAAAGAGUGAUAGUUUAGAAAUUAAACUGACCGUUUAUAAUAGUUUAGAGACCUUUUAGCUGUUAGAUUUGGUACCUUGUUUAUGGCAUGUGUGACUCAAAGGUAGCUCAUACCUAAGAUUUGAAGAUAAAUUCGAGUGUGUUUUCAGAAAACACAAAACACGCGCUAUUGUAAGUGUUUAAACUUUAAACUAGAGGGGAAUGGAUUCUAUCAUAUUGAAUUGAACUAAAACACUAGGGUUUAAAAUAACAUUAGUGAGUAAAAUUUGAGAUAAAAAACAUGAAAUUCAUGAUAACUCUUCUAUCAGUAAGCUUAGCGAGGGAAUAAAAGUAUGUAUAUAAUCAAAAUCACGAAUGAGACAAAAUUGAUUGGCCAGAUCUGAAUAUAAAACCUUUUUUCUCCCUUCUAUCUUGUAUGGAUUUGUUUGCCAAAUUAGUUAAAAGAAAUAACAUUUGUUCAACUAUAUUUGAGAUAAUUUUUGGGACAAUAUUUUCUGCCCUCUUCUUUGGGGACAAAAAUAAUAGAUAGAGAAAAGGGAGAUAGAGAUAGAAUAAAAAUACAAUAUGAAUAUAAAAGAAAAAAUAUAUUGUUCCAAAAUAAUCGUGUAAAUAUCACGUUUCAUCAUAUAAACUGUCCACAAAUACACAAUGAGGAAUGUUAUUAUAAUCCACCACAAAUUUCCUAUCAUAUAGUAGAUUUAAUCUCGAAAUAAAUUUAUUGAAGAGCGAUUUACAAGAGAAAACAAUCACUUUUGAAGGAUCAUUUCCUUUCAAAAUCAAUAUUUAUGCAUCAUUCAAAGAGUCAUUUAUUUAGAUUUUAGUCAAAAUUUACGUACUACAACCUAUAUGAAUAUAUUUCAGUUUUUUCAGAUAUAUUAUGUAAGGUGAUUGAAAUUGAAUGUGAAUACAAGAAUAUAAGGAGUACCAUAUAAAUUUUUUGCAUGUGAGGCAUGCAACUAAAAAAAUUAAAAAAUUGAUGCAACCCACUGACACGUGGAACUUCAACAACGAUUGUUAAUGUUAUUACUACUUGGAUCGAACUAUAUAAAAAAAAAAAAAAAACUAAUUUCUUAUUUGUAAAGCUUCCUAAGUUUCAAUUAAUUUGAAGGCAUAUAUGUGCAGCUUAAUUAGGGAUGAGUAGGAUCUCCUCCUCUUGAUCCAGGUGCUUUACCAUUUGGAAGUGAUUGCAAAAUAAGUCCAUGAUCCCAAGACCAUUGAUAAUAAUUCAAUGACAAUGGCCUGCAAUCUACUCCUCCUGAUUGAGGUGUAACGAAUAUGUUGAAGAUGAUUAGUACAUAGAGAAGAACUUUGAAGAGGAUUAUUCUACUAUAAGAGAAAGCCAUGUAUGUUUGUUUGAUUCAACUAAUAUCAAUCUAUGAACUGUUGUUGUGCUUUGAAGGAGUUUAUUAAUUCUCACAAACUAUAUGAUAUGAUAUGAUGAAAUUAAAUUGUGAUAUGUUAAUGUGUUUUGAUGGAAGGAGGGGUGGCAACUCAUAUAUAUAGGGAGUGGAAUUUGAAGUGUUUAUUGUUUUACUUUGACUUUGAAUAUUUGAAUAUCAAUACCUUGGACUCCAAACACACCCAUAUUUACGCGCGACCCAUAACACUAAAACACGACCAUGUCAAAAAAUUGAACAAGAAAGAGUAAGCAGUGUAAUAUGUUUCUAUGUUAAUUAAUUCAGAUAUAGUUACUAGUAUUUAAUUAAAUUUAAAUUCUUAGAUUAUUUAUUGAUAAUAGUUAUAAUUACAAGGUAAAAAAAAAUGACAUACAGCCAAAAAUUUAAGAAAAUGUCAAAUUACUUGACUUUGUCAAAUUGAGUGGAUGGAAGGUUCAAGGUUCUUUUAUCCGAGUGCAACAGUUUUACCAAAUUAAAUUAUCGAUCUAUUAUAGUGACAAAAUUAUUUACCAAAAUGGGGUAAGUUGUAUUACGGAGAUAAUUAUCGAUAUAUACAAGCUUGCUUCCAUUGUUCAUAAACCCUUUUAAAACAAUUUUGUAGAAACAAUAAUGUAUUUUAAGAAGCUCUUUGAGAAUGACCAUAUUCUGAAGAUCGAAAGCCAACAACAUAAAACUAACUUUGUUACAAUAUUAUAAUAUACCUUUGCUUUAUUAUUCUAAAUUGAAUAUUUUGUAGAUGAUGAUUAUGAUUGUAUAUAGUUCUCACCAAUGUGUUAGGUUUUGCUAUUGUAUCUUCAGAGAGGACCCUUGGGACUAUUGUUCCAGUUUUAUUUUGGUUUGGUUAAUAGUUUAGUUCACCAAUAUCACUUGGCACCUAGUAAGGGCCACAAACAUUUAUCUUGUACAUAUUUUGAUGCACGUAAACAUUUUCCUCUCCGUGAUAUCUUGGUGUCCUUCAUAUUUUAAUGAGUAAAUUACACUCCCCUCUCCUUAAAGAUGCUUGAAUUACACUCUCCUCCCCUCUUAAGUUAAAAUAUACACUUUACUCCAAUUUCUUUUUUUUUUUUUUAUGUUAAAAUUUAUACUCCCAUCCCUUAUAAGAUGCUUGAAUAACAAACUUCUCCCUUAAUAAUUAAAUAUGCACUACACUUUAAUCUAUUUGAACAUAAAUAAAUAUUCUUAUAAUAUAUAUUAAUUUUGAAUCACCAUUUAAGAAAAAUUAAUUCAUUUCUUUAUAGUUUAAAUGUAAAUGAUAAUUAAAUUUAAAUAUAUUGUUAUUGAUUUUAUAAAUUAGAGUAUAAAAUUAACUUUUAAAUAAUCAUGCUUUAAUGAUUUUAGUAAUUUUUCACAUAUUUUAAUUUUGUUUUGGGUUGUUUCAUAUUUUAUAAUAGGGUUUAAAACUACAUGUUAAUGAAAUUGUGAAUAAAUAAUAGCGAAAAAUAUGUAUUCAAUUUUUUAUUAUAUUAAAAUAGACCCGCAAUACUAUUUUUUUUUUUAAGUGUGUUAAAUUAUUAUUUUUUGCUAGAUUAUUAGAAAUAAUAAAAAUGAAUAUUGAGGGAGUAAAGUGUAGAUUUUAACAUAAGAGGGGAGGGGGAUGUAAUUCAACCUUCUCUUAGGAGAGGAGAGUGAAAUUUUUUCUAAUAUGUUUUGAAAAAGAGGGGAGGGUAGUGUAUAUUUUAACUUAAGAGGGGAGGGGAGUGUAAUUCAAGCAUCUUUGAGGAGAGGGGAGUGUAACUUACUCUAUUUUAAUUUAUCUGUGAUUUUAUAAACAUUAUUUUAUGAUUAGUUAUAUAGGUUUGACCAAUGGAACAUUGGAAAAUUUCAAUUGAUUAGAGAUGAGAUGAGGUAUAAUUUGAAAUUGAAAUUUUAAAUGUAGAGGGACUAAAUUGAUGUAUUUUCAUAUUUUAGGGACUAAGAGACUAAAUGUUGAAUGGAAUAGUAAUUUAGUGACCUUUUAGUUGAUUAUAAUAGUUUAAGGACUUAAUUGCUGAGAUAGUGAUAGUGUUGUGAAUUCGGACUCAAAAUCACACCAAUACAAACUAUGAUGUGUGGAGCAAAGGAAAAUAGUAACAAAAAUCAAAGUGAACACAAGCAACGACAAUAAUGACAACACCUAGAUCAAAUCUAGUAAUCAAAGUGAAAAGCUCAAAACCACAAGCAAAAGAUAAGGAGAGAAGAGAGAAACAAACACACCAAAGAUUGUUGACCCAGUUCGGUCCAACUUGACCUAUUUUGGGGGAUAGAUUUAUCUCUUCAAUCCACUAUCAAUGAGUUCUUACAAAGUGAUACAAAUGUGUUACAAUAAAUUAGCUUAAACAAGCUCACAAAGAACAACCCUAAUUUCUACCCAUUUUCCCAAUCUCACAAAUGAACAAGACACUCAAUGAUUUUCGCUCACCCAAGGUGUUUACAAUGUUUCCCAACCCAAGAGAACUCUAAUCAAAGACCCUCAACCCUAAAGUUACCUCCUUUGAUUUCCCAAGUUUUCCUCUCUUGAAGUUCUCUCUCUUCUUCCUUCAAAAAUGAGCUGAAACACUUAAAUAGUACAAAGUGACAGACAAAAUCGCGCCGCGCUAGUGAAAAUCGCACCACGGUUGAAGCGUACGACCCAAGGCACGACAACCUUAUCCACAAAUUGCGUCACGCCUGCACAAAAUCGCGCCACGAUUUGCUUUAGUAAAAACCAUCCAUUCUGCCAGCAAAAUCGCGCCACGCCUUUGAAAAUCGCGCCACGAUUUUCAGCUUUCACAACAUCACAAUUUGAAGACAAUUUCAACAGUUAGAAAUUAAAUUGACCGUUUUUUCUGUUUGUUUUAUUGUCAAAUAAAAAUAUGAAUUUUUUUUUCCUUCAUAAAAAAUUAUGUAUUUGUUUCACAAGGAUAACUUUAUAAUUUAAAUAGAAUAUAUUUUUUUAUCAUGUCAAUAGCACGUGUGCACCAAACGCAGGAUAGGAUAAAAUAACACUAUCAUCUUUUUUUUCUUCAAGUGUGCACCAAACGCAUGAUAUGAUAAUGGUUAUCCUGUCACUAUCAUUGCCCAUCCUCAUCCAACUUCUUAUCAUAUCAUGUCUAUAUUAUUGCGCACUAAAUAGGCCCUUAAUUCUUUUGCAUCAAAUUGAUCUAAAACACUCAGUAAAAUUUGAGAUAAAAAAAAUGAAAUUUGUGAUAAAUCUCCUAUGAGUGAUAAAGUUAAGGCGUCUCAAUUGAUUAGAUAAGAGAAGAUAUAUAACGUAUUCAAUUACAAAUUUUUAAAAGUUAGAGGACUAAUUUGUUAUUUUUUAUGAUAGUUUGAAGACUAAAUUGAUGUAUUUUUUAGUUUUGGGGACUACAAAUAGACAGCUUAACGGAAAACUUAAUUAGGUGGCUAUGGUUGGAUGGAAGAAUAGUUUAGAGCAAUGACAAAUGAACAAAAAAUAUUUGACACAAAUUCAACAUCAUGGAUAGUUUGGACAUUUCACUCAUAAAACAGGGACAGUUUUGUCAAAGCCUCACACUCCAAGGUCAGGAACUGUCUUCUUUCUCUCUCUGUCCGCCAUUUUCAACAAAGGGCAGUAGGCCACCGCCAACACUUCACCGACCGUUUCUCCACCGACUGAGUGAUGAUCCUCCGUCAGACUUCGAUUCCUUCGUUGCUGAACGUCUCCGGCAGAUAGUAAUAGUGACUAAUGUCGAAAUCGGAAUGAAAAUCUAGGUCCGUUUUCGGUUAGUCAUUAAAUGCAGAUGUUAGUUAGAUUAUGAAUAUCUUUCAUUAUCUGAAUUCUAAUCUUGUGGAACUAAGAAAAAAUUCAUAAGGAGAAGAUGAUGUGGUUGGUGUGAGUUUUGAUGAAUCAAUGCUUGAUUGAUUGUAAUUAUUUAUUUUUAAGAAAAAUAAAAAAUAAAGAAAUAAAAUUGCAGAAGAACGAGUAUUUGUCAUGUCAGCGUGGGUGAUGGCAGUGGAGCAUUCCUUGGUGUUUUGUAUGACACUGGAAGUGGAGCAACAAUGGAGUGGUGCGAACGAAGGGAAAUGAAAAAGAAAAGAAAAAAUAGAAAGGAAAAUAGAGUAUAAAGUAACAGUGUAAACAAAUGGGAAAUACAUUAUAAUUAUAUAGUGGUGUCUGUAUUGUGUUUAAAAAAUUGUGUUCAUUUAUCAUUUUUGAAUGAGCUUAUGAUCAUUUUAGUUGAUUAUAGUAGCUUAGAGUCUAAAUUGAUGAUAGAGUGGAAGUUUAGUGACGAAAUUGAUUGUUUAUUAGAAGAAAAAAAACGUUUAAAAUUUUAUUAAAGAAGUAACUAAGAACAACAUUAAAAAUCUUUAAAAAAAAAAAAGAACAACAUUAAAAAAAAGCAUUAAAAGCCUUACAAACAUACAAAAAUUCCAAACAGUGCAAUCAAGAGGAUAUAAACCGAGGCACAUUCUCAUAUUAGUUUUUUUUUUUAGUUAGUCAUAUCUUAUAACAUUUUGUUGAAUUCUUCCAGCCCAGAUACAAAGUUAUUGACUACAAUGAAUAAUUUGUCAUUUUCGUUAUAAUCAGAAAAAAAAAAUUCAUUGAACAGCCAAAGACGGUGAGCACAAGAAAUCCAAAGAUCAGAGCGAAAAAGCAUAAACAUGAAAAUAAAACCCAUAGGCUUCAUGUAUUACUACAAUAGCCGCAAGAAAAGUGCUUGCAUAUCUGUGGUUUUUUAAUAGGAAAAUGUUAACAAGUGUUUGAGAAGCACUCUUUAAAAAUCAUAAUUAAUAAUUUUUUAUGGUACAUUCAAUGCAUUAUAUAAAUUGAAAUAAUCUCUUUUAAUAGUUCUAGCUUUUAACCGGCAGCCCAAGAAGUAUAAGAGAAAAUCAAAUUGUAUUACUAUUAGAAUAAUAAUGCAGAGGGAUAUUAGAAUAUUGUAGCAAAGUCUCGACGGUAUAGAAAAUAUUAUUGUUUCUACAACUUCUUUUUAAGAGAGUUUAUGAAGAUGAUAUUGGUACAACCAUUCAAUAACAAUUUUGUGACAUUUUAUUGGUAAAAACAACAUAGAAAAAAAAAAAAGACAAAAUAUGAAAAUAAUAUGAGUAUGAGAGAGUUGUAGAAAAGUUGUCACAAAAUAACCGAUGUUAUUUUUUUUUUGUGAACAAUGACACAUAGGCACAUGUUACACUGUUUACUCUUUCUUGUUCAGUUUUUUGACAUGGUCAUAUUCUAGUGAUAUGGGUCGCGGGUUUGGAGUCCAAGUUAUUGCUAUUCAAAUUUUUCAAUAUUCAAAAGCCUUCACAGUCAAAGCAAAACAAUAAACAUUUUAAUUCCACUCCUCUAUAUAAAUGAGUUAUGCCACCCCCUCCUUUCAUCAAAACACAUUAACAUAUCACAAUUUAAUUUCAUCAUAUCAUAUCAUAUCAUAUAGUUUGUGAGAAUUAAUAAACUCCUUCAAAGCACAACAACAGUUCAUAGAUUGAUAUUAGUUGAAUCAAACAAACAUACAUGGCUUUCUCUUAUAGUAGAAUAAUCCUCUUCAAAGUUCUUCUCUAUGUACUAAUCAUCUUCAACAUAUUCGUUACACCUCAAUCAGGAGGAGUAGAUUGCAGGCCAUUGUCAUUGAAUUAUUAUCAAUGGUCUUGGGAUCAUGGACUUAUUUUGCAAUCACUUCCAAAUGGUAAUGCACCUGGAUCAGGAGGAGGAGAUCCUACUCAUCCCUAAUUAAUUGGAAGAAGCUUUACAACGAAGAAAAUUAAUCUUCAUUUUUUUAUAUAUAUAGUUCGAUUAAUGACAUUAACUCUCAUGUGAAGUUCCACGUGUUAGUGGGCUAUAUAGUAUGGUAUUUUUUUUAGUUGCAUGUUUCACAAUCACAUGCAAUAUUUUUAGAUGGGUAUUUCUUAUAUUCUUGUAUAUAUUCACAUUCAAAUUCAAUUAUAUCACAGAUUAUACCUGAAAAAAUUUAGAUAUAUUCUUUUAAGUUGUAGUAUGUAAAUUUUGACUAAAAUCUAAAUAAACGACUCUUUCAAUUUGGUGCAUAAAUAUUGAUUUUAAAAGGGGUUUUGCUCCUUCAAAUGUGAUCGCUUCUUGUCAAUGAAUAUGUUGCCCAUGUUCAAAAUUGACUAGGUGUAUCCAUAUAUUUUUAAUUCCC
rnacentral:lncRNA from 1 species